UACGUAGGGUGCAAGCGUUGUCCGGAAUUAUUGGGCGUAAAGAGCGUGUAGGCGGCCCGAUUAGUCCGCUGUGAAAGUCCAGGGCUCAACCCUGGAAUGCCGGUGGAUACUGUCGGGCUAGAGUCCGGAAGGGCGAGUGGAAUUCCUGGUGUAGCGGUGAAAUGCGCAGAUAUCAGGAGGAACACCCGUAGCGAAGGCGGCACUCUGGGCCGGAACUGACGCUGAGGAGCGAAAGCGUGGGGAGCAAACAGG
rnacentral:rRNA from 1 species